AACGUAGGAGACAAACGUUAUCCGGAGUUACUGGGCGUAAAGGGCGUGUAGGUGGUUUUGUAAGUCUGGCGUUGAAAUUUUUCGGCUUAACCGGGAAAGGUCGUCGGAUACUGCAAGGCUAGAGGACGGUAGAGGCGUGUGGAAUUCCGGGUGUAGUGGUGAAAUGCGUAGAGAUCCGGAGGAACACCAGUGGCGAAGGCGACACGCUGGGCCGUACCUGACACUGAUGCGCGACAGCAUGGGGAGCAAACAGG
rnacentral:rRNA from 1 species